rnacentral:rRNA from 1 species
AUUGAACGCUGGCGGCAGGCCUAACACAUGCAAGUCGAGCGAGCGGCGGACGGGUGAGUAAUGUCUGGGAAACUGCCUGAUGGAGGGGGAUAACUACUGGAAACGGUAGCUAAUACCGCAUCCCAUCAGAUGUGCCCAGAUGGGAUUAGGUAGUAGGUGGGGUAACGGCGCACCUAGGCGCCGAUACCUAGCUGGUCUGAGAGGAUGACCAGCCAGACUGGAACUGAGACACGGUCCAGACUCCUACGGGAGGCAGCAGUGGGUAAUAUUGCUCAAUGGGCGCAAGCCUGAUGCAGCCAUGCCGCGUGUGUGAAGAAGGCCUUCGGGUUGUAAAGCACUUUCAGCGGGGAGGCGUUACUCGCAGAAUAAGCACCGGCUAACUCUGUGCCAGCAGCCGCGGUAAUAC